rnacentral:lncRNA from 1 species
GACUAUUCGUUGAGCGACCCCAUUUACUCAAUGAGUCUGCAUAAUUCUGCAGCAUAAAAUUUGUAGAAUUACGCAACAAAAACCACGUUUACUAAUUUCCACUAUUUUCCCCAACUUCUAACUCUACUGAAUUGUUUUAUACACAUAAUUAGACUUGACCAAGUGUUUCAAAACCUUACUAACAUCAUUCUCAAGUUUUUAGGAACCAAUUCCCA